GGGGUCGUAAAUGGUUUCGACGGGGAUCGUGGAGGCCGGAUAAGCGAGCCGAAGCCCCGUGCUUCGUUAAAAACGGGAAAACUUAAAUUUAACUGGCAAAUCUGAUUUUGCACUCGCUGCCUAAUUAGGCUGCGCGUCGGCCCGGCGCUUCCCACGGCUCCGGUAACCGGCGUCAUCAAUGUGGGGAACCAGCCUGCCUAAGCUUUGCGGCAGGUGGGAUUUAAUGAAGCUACCGAGGCCCUGAUCCUGUCGGCGGGAGCUGCUUUGGCUGAGGGAACGUUAAUACACCGACUACGCUCGUAGAAAGUCUUGCUGACAGGUUUUCGGACAGGGGUUCAACUCCCCUCGACUCCACCA
rnacentral:tmRNA from 1 species